AGCUCUUAGGAAAGAUGACUGUUGUGUUUCCAUCUGGAGCAGCUGAGCAGCCCGAUUUAUGCCUCUGGAAUUCAGCAGAGAGAAAGCCCUGUGCACAUUCACCCCUAACUGCAUCCUGCCCUCCCACUUUCAAUUUAGCAGCACCAACACUGCAAAAAGCCAACCCACAGACUCCAAACUGAGGCUGAGAGGAGGAAGAUGAGCGGUUCCCUCAGAGUGGCUGAUGCUGCAGGAGUGAUGCACGAAUCUCACAUUGAAAUUUAAGUUCUGGACCUUGAAAGUAAUAGGGUUGUUCUGCAAUUUCCCACUCUGCAAGGAUGGCUCAGUGCCUGGGGUUGCUGUCAUGUCAUUCCUUUUGGGAACCUUUUCAGGUGAAGUCAGUGCAGGUGACCUCCACCUUCAUCAGAACAGCACUGGUGUGACUGUGGGCUGCUGGAUUCUUAAUUGCUCAUAGCAUUUUCCCUGUCUCUCCAUCAGUAGUGCUCCGCCAGUGUGCUGAGUUACAUCUGAGUGUUGUAAUGCAGCUGAGCUGAAUAAUCCCUGCGGAUAGGAAGAGGAGAUGGAUGCACUCUCCUCAGGAAGAAGAGUCCAAGAGGAUGAUAGCUACGAUCCAGCUGGACCUGCAAGUCAACACCAUUCCCGGAUUUAGCCGAGAACUUUGGCAGUUUUUGAGGUGCUUGGGAUUUUGCCCUGGAUCCACAGUGUAAGGAAUGGCUGCUGCCCAGAUUUGCAAGGUGUGGUGCGGCCACUGCUGCUGAUGCCAAUAGUCAAGGAGAGGGGAAUGAAACCUGCUGAGGCUUGGGAAUGAAACAAAUCAGCAUUAAUUAAAAGCAAAUGCUAUGUGUUGACUAAGAGGUUCCAAAGCAGAUGUUUGUCAAAAUCGCCAGGAGAUGGGUCAUCUGAAAGCAGAACUAAUAAAUAAUGAGAGCGACGUUUCUAGUCAUUUCAUGUUUUCUCAGGUCAAAACCAGGUGUCAGUCAGUGCUGGAAGUAUCACAGAGUGAAACACGUUGUGUUGUUACACUGCAGGGAGCUCCAUGCCGCCAUCUCUGUGUUUGUGACCCAUGCACUCAAACCACAGUGCACCUACAGACCCGUGGCAGCAUUACAUGCACAGCUGGCAGCAUGCUGGGCAGGCCCUCACAUCACUCCUGCUCCACCAAAUGGCUCUCUGCAAUUUUAUGCUCAGGUGGAUGCAUGUUGGAAUGGCAUUGGGUCUCCAUCCCUCUCUGGAAGCAGCACAGAAGAAUCCAGGCAGCUCAGUCUAUUCUGUCCUGGGAUACAUCAGAAAGAGAUGAAGAAACGUCCAGCUGUGAUGCAAACCAACUUUUCCAGUGGUGCUCAGAUGGUAUCGAGGACACGCAGUGCUCAGAAAGGAGCAAAACCAGAAGGAGAUGGUGGAAAAAAGUAAGGAAAUUGUGGAACUGGAAAGCUGUGUUCCCCUUAAGGAGCACUUCACAGAACAGUUUUCAUUUCUACAACGUUAAACAUAUUCCAUGGAAAGACUUCAGGCACAGAAUUACUUGGGCCAUGUGGAGGGAGAUGGCAGCUGUGUCCCAACCGUUCACAGCGCGUGGUCUUCUACAGUUCUUUGGUUUUGGUCCUGCCUUCAUCAGCAAGACAAAGACGCGAACAGGAGGAGACCCCCAGCUCCGUGGUGCAGUCGAGGUUCCAGCACCCAGGAGCAGUGGCUGUGGCACACUGGGUCAGGCACAGGGCACACGCUGCUCUGCCCCAGCUCUGCUUGUACUUGCUGUGGUUCUCUGCAGGGAGCUCCUUCCCCAUCUGCCAACCCAGAGUGCCAAAGGGGCUGCGAUUGAGGCUCUCCCCAUCCAUGCAUAUCUCCAGUGCACAUCCCCAUCCCCAGGACUCAGAACCAGUGCUCAGAGCAUUUUUCUUCACCAGUGA
ensembl:lncRNA